GGGUAACUUCAUGUCCCUAGAAUGAAGACUACAAAAGACUCUAAGCCCCCUUUCCCACAACAACAUAAUGCUGCGUGGCAUUCAUUCAUAAUGCCAUUGGAAAAGAAUGAAUGGCAACUUUUUUUUAACAAUGAGGCUAUUAAGAACAUACAAAUUGCCUAAUUCAGCAGCACUCAUUCAUUAUUUCUUGACAAUAAAAUGGAGGCUCUGAUA